rnacentral:rRNA from 1 species
GAUGAACGCUGGCGGCGUGCCUAAUACAUGCAAGUCGAGCGAACGGACGAGAAGCUUGCUUCUCUGAUGUUAGCGGCGGACGGGUGAGUAACACGUGGAUAACCUACCUAUAAGACUGGGAUAACUUCGGGAAACCGGAGCUAAUACCGGAUAAUAUUUUGAACCGCAUGGUUCAAAAGUGAAAGACGGUCUUGCUGUCACUUAUAGAUGGAUCCGCGCUGCAUUAGCUAGUUGGUAAGGUAACGGCUUACCAAGGCAACGAUGCAUAGCCGACCUGAGAGGGUGAUCGGCCACACUGGAACUUAGACACGGUCCCGACUCCUACGGGAGGCAGCAGUAGGGAAUCUUCCGCAAUGGGCGAAAGCCUGACGGAGCAACGCCGCGUGAGUGAUGAAGGUCUUCGGAUCGUAAAACUCUGUUAUUAGGGAAGAACAUAUGUGUAAGUAACUGUGCACAUCUUGACGGUACCUAAUCAGAAAGCCACGGCUAACUACGUG